GUCGUGCUCAAGAGUGUGUCUCACCGCGCUGUGUGUCAGGUAGGUUGCGCCUCACCGGCCUCUAUCCGCGUUCGCUGUUGUCCCGGUAAAUGGGCGUUCGUUGAAAAUCAUCUUCUGCAUUGGCUGUGGCCGGAGGUUCCACCGGAUCUGGAGACUGCUACCGCCGCUUCGCCCGCGAAAAUGGCAGGGUUCCGGCGUCCUGUUAAAUAAAGUGGUUUAACUUUCCGUGUA